AUACUCUGGUUUCUCCUCACAUCACAUAAAUCUUUCACCUUUUACUAAAGAUUUCAGUGGAGAGGAACAACUCUUGAGUCUGAAACCAAUUUUUUGAGGCCUUGCCUUGGCAAAGGCU
ensembl:snRNA U5 U5 spliceosomal RNA